UUUUAUCAAGUGGUAGGAGAGCGUUCUAUUUGCGCCGAAGGUAUACUGGUAAGGAGUGCUGGAGCGAAUAGAAGUGAGCAUGCAGGCAUGAGUAGCGAUAAUUAAUGUGAGAAUCAUUAACGCCGUAAACCCAAGGUUUCCUACGCGAUGCUCGUCAUCGUAGGGUUAGUCGGGUCCUAAGUCGAGUCCGAAAGGGGUAGACGAUGGCAAAUUGGUUAAUAUUCCAAUACCAACAUUAGUGUGCGAUGGAAGGACGCUUAGGGCUAAGGGGGCUAGCGGAUGGAAGUGCUAGUCUAAGGUCGUAGGAGGUUAUACAGGCAAAUCCGUAUAACAAUACUCCGAGAACUGAAAGGCUUUUUGAAGUCUUCGGAUGGAUAGAAGAACCCCUGAUGCCGUCGAGCCAAGAAAAGUUUCUAAGUUUAGCUAAUGUUGCCCGUACCGUAAACCGACACAGGUGGGUGGGAUGAGUAUUCUAAGGCGCGUGGAAGAACUCUCUUUAAGGAACUCUGCAAAAUAGCACCGUAUCUUCGGUAUAAGGUGUGGUUCGCUUCGUAUUAGGAUUUACUCCGAAAGCGAAGAAACUUACAACAAAGAGUCCCUCCCGACUGUUUACCAAAAACACAGCACUCUGCUAACUCGUAAGAGGAUGUAUAGGGUGUGACGCCUGCCCGGUGCUCGAAGGUUAAUUGAUGGGGUUAGCAUUAGCGAAGCUCUUGAUCGAAGCCCGAGUAAACGGCGGCCGUAACUAUAACGGUCCUAAGGUAGCGAAAUUCCUUGUCGGUUAAAUACCGACCUGCAUGAAUGGCGUAACGAGAUGGGAGCUGUCUCAAAGAGGGAUCCAGUGAAAUUGUAGUGGAGGUGAAAAUUCCUCCUACCCGCGGCAAGACGGAAAGACCCCGUGGACCUUUACUACAGCUUGACACUGCUAUUUGGAUAAGAAUGUGCAGGAUAGGUGGGAGGCUUUGAGUAUAUGACGCCAGUUGUAUAUGAGCCAUUGUUGAGAUACCACUCUUUCUUAUUUGGGUAGCUAACCAGCUUGAGUUAUCCUCAAGUGGGACAAUGUCUGGUGGGUAGUUUGACUGGGGCGGUCGCCUCCCAAAUAAUAACGGAGGCUUACAAAGGUUGGCUCAGAACGGUUGGAAAUCGUUCGUAGAGUAUAAAGGUAUAAGCCAGCUUAACUGCAAGACAUACAAGUCAAGCAGAGACGAAAGUCGGUCUUAGUGAUCCGGUGGUUCUGUGUGGAAGGGCCAUCGCUCAAAGGAUAAAAGGUACCCCGGGGAUAACAGGCUGAUCUCCCCCAAGAGCUCACAUCGACGGGGAGGUUUGGCACCUCGAUGUCGGCUCAUCGCAUCCUGGGGCUGGAGCAGGUCCCAAGGGUAUGGCUGUUCGCCAUUUAAAGCGGUACGCGAGCUGGGUUCAGAACGUCGUGAGACAGUUCGGUCCCUAUCUGCCGUGGGCGUAAGAAGAUUGAAGAGAUUUGACCCUAGUACGAGAGGACCGGGUUGAACAAACCACUGGUGUAGCUGUUGUUCUGCCAAGAGCAUCGCAGCGUAGCUAAGUUUGGAAAGGAUAAACGCUGAAAGCAUCUAAGCGUGAAGCCAACUCUAAGAUGAAUCUUCUCUAAGCUCUCUAGAAGACUACUAGUUUGAUAGGCUGGGUGUGUAAUGGAUGAAAGUCCUUUAGCUGACCAGUACUAAUAGAGCGUUUGGCUUAUCUUUAAUAAAGCAU
rnacentral:rRNA from 1 species